rnacentral:rRNA from 1 species
AGUCGAGGGGCAGCAUUUCAGUUUGCUUGCNAACUGGAGAUGGCGACCGGCGCACNGGUGAGUAACACGUAUCCAACCUGCCGAUAACUCGGGGAUAGCCUUUCGAAAGAAAGAUUAAUACCCGAUGGUAUAAUNAGACCGCAUGGUCUUGUUAUUAAAGAAUUUCGGUUAUCGAUGGGGAUGCGUUCCAUUAGGCAGUUGGUGAGGUAACGGCUCACCAAACCUUCGAUGGAUAGGGGUUCUGAGAGGAAGGUCCCCCACAUUGGAACUGAGACACGGUCCAAACUCCUACGGGAGGCAGCAGUGAGGAAUAUUGGUCAAUGGGCGCAGGCCUGAACCAGCCAAGUAGCGUGAAGGAUGACUGCCCUAUGGGUUGUAAACUUCUUUUAUAUGGGAAUAAAGUUUUCCACGUGUGGAAUUUUGUAUGUACCAUAUGAAUAAGGAUCGGCUAACUCCGUGCCAGCAGCCGCGGUAAUACGGAGGAUCCCGAGCGUUAUCCGGAUUUAUUGGGUUUAAAGGGAGCGUAGGUGGACAGUUAAGUCAGUUGUGAAAGUUUGCGGCUCAACCGUAAAAUUGCAGUUGAUACUGGCUGUCUUGAGUACAGUAGAGGUGGGCGGAAUUCGUGGUGUAGCGGUGAAAUGCUUAGAUAUCACGAAGAACUCCGAUUGCGAAGGCAGCUCACUGGACUGCAACUGACACUGAUGCUCGAAAGUGUGGGUAUCAAACAGGAUUAGAUACCCUGGUAGUCCACACAGUAAACGAUGAAUACUCGCUGUUUGCGAUAUACAGUAAGCGGCCAAGCGAAAGCAUUAAGUAUUCCACCUGGGGAGUACGCCGGCAACGGUGAAACUCAAAGGAAUUGACGGGGGCCCGCACAAGCGGAGGAACAUGUGGUUUAAUUCGAUGAUACGCGAGGAACCUUACCCGGGCUUAAAUUGCAUUUGAAUAUAUUGGNAAACAGUAUAGUCGUAAGACAAAUGUGAAGGUGCUGCAUGGUUGUCGUCAGCUCGUGCCGUGAGGGGUCGGCUUAAGUGCCAUAACGAGCGCAACCCUUAUCUUUAGUUACUAACAGGUCAUGCUGAGGACUCUAGAGAGACUGCCGUCGUAAGAUGUGAGGAAGGUGGGGAUGACGUCAAAUCAGCACGGCCCUUACGUCCGGGGCUACACACGUGUUACAAUGGGGGGUACAGAAGGCAGCUACCUGGUGACAGGAUGCUAAUCCCAAAAGCCUCUCUCAGUUCGGAUCGAAGUCUGCAACCCGACUUCGUGAAGCUGGAUUCGCUAGUAAUCGCGCAUCAGCCAUGGCGCGGUGAAUACGUUCCCGGGCCUUGUACACACCGCCCGUCAAGCCAUGAAAGCCGGGGGUACCUGAAGUACGUAACCGCAAGGAGCUCCUAGG